rnacentral:rRNA from 1 species
GACGAACGCUGGCGGCGUGCUUAACACAUGCAAGUCGAGGGCGUGGUGGGGCAACCUGCCACGACCGGCGAACGGGUGCGUAACACGUGAGCGACCUACCCUGGUGUGGGGGAUAGCCGGCCCAACGGCCGGGUAAUACCGCAUGCGCUCUGUGGGCUCCCUGGCCUGGAGAGCAAAGCUUUGGGGCAACUCAAGGCGCAUUGGGAGGGGCUCGCGGCCUAUCAGCUAGUUGGCGGGGAACGGCCCACCAAGGCGUCGACGGGUAGCUGGUCUGAGAGGAUGGCCAGCCACAUUGGGACUGAGAGACGGCCCAGACUCCUACGGGAGGCAGCAGUGGGGAAUCUUGCGCAAUGGGCGAAAGCCUGACGCAGCGACGCCGCGUGCGGGAGGA